rnacentral:rRNA from 1 species
GUGGAGCAUGUGGCUUAAUUUGACUCAACGCGGGGAAUCUUACUAGGUCCGGACCGAGUCUAUGAACGUCGUACCGUUGGGUGCUACGUGAUUACUGGAUGAGUGGUGCAUGGCCGUUCUUAGUUCGUGGUGUUAAUUGUCUACUUAAUUGUUAUCGUUCCCGUAUCUCACGGUACGGAGCGCAUAACGAACGAGAUCGAGACCCGUGGUUUACGUCAAUAGGUUAUUUGUGUACGACGUUUAAACUACGGGGAUCGCGUAAUACUCAACGGUACGAUCGAAAGACUCGGCAAUAACAGGUCUGUGAUGCCCUCAGAUGUUCUAGGCUGCACACGUGCUACAUUGUGAGUUGUAGUAUAUUGUGUAUGCGUAGAUAUGUCUAAGAUCCCCCGCAUCGAGUCUCAAUUACUCACGUGGUUGGACUCACCGAUUGUUGUAAUUAUUCGGUAUACUAACUAGGAAUGCCUCGUACCGGGUCGGUUCAACGAGACCCCCUGGAAUCCGUCCCUGCCCUUUGUACACACCGCCCGUCGCUCUUACCGAUGGCCGUGGUUAUUAGUUUAGUUGAGUCUCUCGCGAGGUGAAUCUAUGCGCGUAACCACGACUAAAGGAAAGAGAAGUCGUAACAAGGCAUCG